UACGUAGGGGGCGAGCGUUGUCCGGAUUUAUUGGGCGUAAAGAGCUCGUAGGCGGUUUGGCAAGUCGGGUGUGAAAACUCCGGGCUCAACUCGGAGACGCCACUCGAUACUGCCAUGACUCGAGUCCGGUAGGGGAGUGCGGAAUUCCUGGUGUAGCGGUGAAAUGCGCAGAGAUCAGGAGGAACACCCGUAGCGAAGGCUGCACUCUGGGCCGAUACUGACACUGAGGA
rnacentral:rRNA from 1 species